GACGAACGCUGGCGGCGUGCUUAACACAUGCAAGUCGAACGGAAAGGCCCUGCUUUUGUGGGGUGCUCGAGUGGCGAAAGGGUGAGUAACACGUGAGUAACCUGCCCUUGACUUUGGGAUAACUUCAGGAAACUGGGGCUAAUACCUGAUAGGAGCUCCUGCUGCAUGGUGGGGGUUGGAAAGUUUCGGCGGUUGGGGAUGGACUCGCGGCUUAUCAGCUUGUUGGUGGGGUAGUGGCUUACCAAGGGUUUGACGGGUAGCCGGCCUGAGAGGGUGACCGGCCACAUGGGGACGGAGAUACGGCCCAGACUCCUACGGGAGGCAGCAGUGGGGAAUAUUGCACAAUGGGCGGAAGCCUGAUGCAGCAACGCCGCGUGCGGGAUGACGGCCUUCGGGGUGUAAACCGCUUUCGCCUGUGACGAAGCGUGAGUGACGGGAAUGGGUAAAGAAGCACCGGCUAACUACGU
rnacentral:rRNA from 1 species